rnacentral:rRNA from 1 species
AUGAAAAUUCUCGCACGAAGAUUACAACCAAGGCUGAAGGAAUUAGUAUUGCCUUCGCAAAGUGCUUUCAUCAAAGGAAGAGCGAUUCACGACAACUUUAUGUUUGUCAAAGGCAUGGUCAGGUCCCUCUACUUGAAGAAGAUUCCAUCCAUUAUGCUCAAGCUAGACAUCGAAAAGGCAUUUGAUAGUGUCUCUUGGAAUUUUUGUUGGAGGUCCUUGCGGCCAAAGGGUUUAGCCAAACUUGGAGGAACUGGAUCGCCUCCAUGCUCGCCUCAUCUUCAACCAGAGUCCUUGUCAAUGGGGAGCUCACUGACAUAA